rnacentral:rRNA from 1 species
CCCUUAGAUGUUCUGGGCCGCACGCGCGCUACACUGAUACAAUCAACAAGUGCCUUUUGCCGACGGGUGAAGAGGACUCUUGUGAGUUUGUAUCGUGAUGGGAACAAACGAUUGCAAUUAUUAGUCUUGAACGAGGAAUUCCUAGUAAGCACAAGUCAUCAGCUUGUGUUGAUUACGUCCCUGCCCUUUGUACACACCGCCCGUCGCUCCUACCGAUUGAAUGUUCCGGUGAGCUCUUCGGACUGCGCGGUCUGCAGUUUCUGCGUUCCGUGCGGAAAGUUGCGCAAACCUUAACAUUUAGAGGAAGGAGAAGUCGUAACA